rnacentral:rRNA from 1 species
GGAGGCAGCAGUGGGGAAUAUUGGACAAUGGGGGAAACCCUGAUCCAGCAAUGCCGCGUGUGUGAAGAAGGCCUGCGGGUUGUAAAGCACUUUCGGUGGGGAGGAAAAGCUGGGAGCUAAUACCUUUCAGUGUUGACGUUACCCAAAGAAGAAGCACCGGCUAACUCUGUGCCAGCAGCCGCGGUAAUACAGAGGGUGCAAGCGUUAAUCGGAAUUACUGGGCGUAAAGCGCACGUAGGUGGUUUGGUAAGUCGGAUGUGAAAGCCCCGGGCUCAACCUGGGAAUUGCAUUCGAUACUGCCUGGCUAGAGUAUGGUAGAGGGGGGUAGAAUUCCCGGUGUAGCGGUGAAAUGCGUAGAUAUCGGGAGGAAUACCAGUGGCGAAGGCGGCCCCCUGGACCAAUACUGACACUGAGGUGCGAAAGCGUGGGUAGCAAACAGGAUUAGAUACCCUGGUAGUCCACGCCGUAAACGAUGUCAACUAGACGUUGGGGAGAUUAAACUCCUUAGUGUCGCAGCUAACGCGAUAAGUGAC